rnacentral:rRNA from 1 species
GGAUGACUUGUGGCUGGGGGUGAAAGGCCAAUCAAACCGGGAGAUAGCUGGUUCUCCCCGAAAGCUAUUUAGGUAGCGCCUCGUGAACUCAUCUCCGGGGGUAGAGCACUGUUUCGGCAAGGGGGUCAUCCCGACUUACCAACCCGAUGCAAACUGCGAAUACCGGAGAAUGUUAUCACGGGAGACACACGGCGGGUGCUAACGUCCGUCGUGAAGAGGGAAACAACCCAGACCGCCAGCUAAGGUCCCAAAGUCAUGGUUAAGUGGGAAACGAUGUGGGAAGGCCCAGACAGCCAGGAUGUUGGCUUAGAAGCAGCCAUCAUUUAAAGAAAGCGUAAUAGCUCACUGGUCGAGUCGGCCUGCGCGGAAGAUGUAACGGGGCUAAACCAUGCACCGAAGCUGCGGCAGCGACGCUUAUGCGUUGUUGGGUAGGGGAGCGUUCUGUAAGCCUGUGAAGGUGUGCUGUGAGGCAUGCUGGAGGUAUCAGAAGUGCGAAUGCUGACAUAAGUAACGAUAAAGCGGGUGAAAAGCCCGCUCGCCGGAAGACCAAGGGUUCCUGUCCAACGUUAAUCGGGGCAGGGUGAGUCGACCCCUAAGGCGAGGCCGAAAGGCGUAGUCGAUGGGAAACAGGUUAAUAUUCCUGUACUUGGUGUUACUGCGAAGGGGGGACGGAGAAGGCUAUGUUGGCCGGGCGACGGUUGUCCCGGUUUAAGCGUGUAGGCUGGUUUUCCAGGCAAAUCCGGAAAAUCAAGGCUGAGGCGUGAUGACGAGGCACUACGGUGCUGAAGCAACAAAUGCCCUGCUUCCAGGAAAAGCCUCUAAGCAUCAGGUAACAUCAAAUCGUACCCCAAACCGACACAGGUGGUCAGGUAGAGAAUACCAAGGCGCUUGAGAGAACUCGGGUGAAGGAACUAGGCAAAAUGGUGCCGUAACUUCGGGAGAAGGCACGCUGAUAUGUAGGUGAAGUCCCUCGCGGAUGGAGCUGAAAUCAGUCGAAGAUACCAGCUGGCUGCAACUGUUUAUUAAAAACACAGCACUGUGCAAACACGAAAGUGGACGUAUACGGUGUGACGCCUGCCCGGUGCCGGAAGGUUAAUUGAUGGGGUCAGCGCAAGCGAAGCUCUUGAUCGAAGCCCCGGUAAACGGCGGCCGUAACUAUAACGGUCCUAAGGUAGCGAAAUUCCUUGUCGGGUAAGUUCCGACCUGCACGAAUGGCGUAAUGAUGGCCAGGCUGUCUCCACCCGAGACUCAGUGAAAUUGAACUCGCUGUGAAGAUGCAGUGUACCCGCGGCAAGACGGAAAGACCCCGUGAACCUUUACUAUAGCUUGACACUGAACAUUGAGCCUUGAUGUGUAGGAUAGGUGGGAGGCUUGGAAGUGUGGACGCCAGUCUGCAUGGAGCCGACCUUGAAAUACCACCCUUUAAUGUUUGAUGUUCUAACGUGGACCCGUAAUCCGGGUUGCGGACAGUGUCUGGUGGGUAGUUUGACUGGGGCGGUCUCCUCCUAAAGAGUAACGGAGGAGCACGAAGGUUGGCUAAUCCUGGUCGGACAUCAGGAGGUUAGUGCAAUGGCAUAAGCCAGCUUGACUGCGAGCGUGACGGCGCGAGCAGGUGCGAAAGCAGGUCAUAGUGAUCCGGUGGUUCUGAAUGGAAGGGCCAUCGCUCAACGGAUAAAAGGUACUCCGGGGAUAACAGGCUGAUACCGCCCAAGAGUUCAUAUCGACGGCGGUGUUUGGCACCUCGAUGUCGGCUCAUCACAUCCUGGGGCUGAAGUAGGUCCCAAGGGUAUGGCUGUUCGCCAUUUAAAGUGGUACGCGAGCUGGGUUUAGAACGUCGUGAGACAGUUCGGUCCCUAUCUGCCGUGGGCGCUGGAGAACUGAGGGGGGCUGCUCCUAGUACGAGAGGACCGGAGUGGACGCAUCACUGGUGUUCGGGUUGUCAUGCCAAUGGCACUGCCCGGUAGCUAAAUGCGGAAGAGAUAAGUGCUGAAAGCAUCUAAGCACGAAACUUGCCCCGAGAUGAGUUCUCCCUGAC